GUCUGUGACCUAGUGGGUAAGGUUACAGGCUUGGGAACAGUGGGUCGCAUGUUCAAGCCCAGCUUGGACC
rnacentral:tRNA from 1 species